rnacentral:lncRNA from 1 species
UUUUUGGUGGUCUAGAAGUCAAGUUAUGGCUGUUUGAAAUAUGAAGUCUGAAUCUGUUCAAAUCUGGACAGAAGAGACUGUUUGUGUUAACUGACCUUUCUACGCAUUGAAUUAUUUGGAGAUGAUUAUAAAUGAGUUGUAGACAAUUUUAUUAGCUUUCUAAAAAGUCUAGGAUCACAUGUUUUGGAUGUCUAAAUCUCCAGUUAUGGAUUUUUGAAGUGAGUAGUCGAAUUCUGUCCAAAUCUGGACAGAAUUUACGUUUAGCACUGAUUGACCUUUCAAAAUGCCGAAUCAUGUUAUGCUGACAAUACAAAAGUUAUAGGGGAUUUCAUAAGCUUUCUAGAAAGUUUUAGUUCACUAUUGUUGGAUGAAUAUUUGGUGAGUUAUGAGCAAAACAAUUGACUACAGUACGGCUGUCCAGAAAUUCUGAAAAUGUUGAAUGCUUAACUUUACUCUUGUUUGGCUAAGUAAGUUUAGUUGAUUCUUAAUUGCUGAAGUGAUGGCUUGUGUAGUAAUUGUCAUAUUCUAUGUUUGUUGAUUGAUUAAAUGUCAUAAAUCAAAAUUGAGCGUUUAAGCUAAUCGCCUUGAAUAAAUGUUCAUCGUUAUUUUAGUCAGUUGGAAGCAAAUAUCAUCGUUGUUCCACUUCAGCAAAAGUUAUGAAAAUUUCAUAGUGAGCAUUUCACGUUAGUAAGUCUGUAGAUUUUAAAUUGUGAUGUUUGCUCCGGCUACCUAAGAAAAGUGUGAUUCUUAUACUUAGUAAUUUAUAGAUACCUAGUAUAUGCUUGCUUUUAAAUGUUUACAUUUGUCUUGCCAUAAGUAUUGCAAUCUAUCAAGGUUACGUCUUAGAUGAAUAUUUGUGUUGAGUUAUUGUGUUUGAUGGUUGAGCUGAGAAUAAGUAACUUCAAGUCUGUGAUUGUUGUAGAGUCAAAGUUAACUAGUGUUUGCUCAUAGGAAUUGUAGCGCUCUACCAGAAGUGUUUUGCCCUCUUCAGUGUAGUUUACCUAUCCUGUGUCAUUUAUGACUAUUCUUAUUCAUAUACAUUUCGCAUUCCAUUAGGUACGUUAAUUAAUCACGUGAUGUGGAGGGCAAGAGUUGGAUUAAUCUCAAGUGAAGAUGAUGAAUGAACCUGAAGCUUGGAUGAUCUGAUCAAGUACCAGGAUCGGAUGAGAGAUGCUCCCCACGCGGACGUCAUCUAACAACACUGACUUAGUGUUAUCCCAGGCAAGCCCCGGUGCAUUUGCCACCUCCUUGUUGUUUUAAAACUUUUAUCACUUAUAUGCUGCAUUAGGUGAUAGGAGUUGAGUGAUGAAACAGUUGAUGCAUUGCCAUUCCUUGGAAUUUGAUUAUCCUCCUUGAUACCUGUUUUACAAAAAGAACUAAUGAGGCAUAGCCUUGCCUAGAGAAUUAAAACAUGUUUCUUUUUAAAAGAAUGAUGUGUGACACUGGGUAUGGGUUUGUUUUAUGAAAAAGGACUUGUAAUGGUGAGCGCAUCAUUGAAAGGGAAAUGUGCCCUUGGGCCAUUUCUAAGUAUUUUGGUGAUUUAGUGUCCAACACAAGUGCCUAAGUGGAAAAAGGUGGACAAAGUACAAAUCAAGGAUAAAGGUAUGUUUCUCAGACUUAGUACAUUGUUUUAUGGACUAAUGUAUUGUGUCUAAGUGCUGGAAAUAGGAAAAAUCCAAUUGAAAAUGUCUUGGCUCGAGCAGCCAAGACUCUGCUCAGUCUGGGUGCACCGGACAGUGUCUGGUGCGCCAGGCUAGCUCGAGCGAACUGGCCGCUCUCGGGAAUUCACCGGCGACGUACGACUAUAAUUCACCGGACUGUCCGGUGUGCACCGGACUGUCCGGUGAGCCAACGGUCGGCCGGGGCAACGGUCGGCCGCGCGAUCUGCGCGGGACACGUGGCCGAGCCAACGGCUAGAAGGAGGCACCGGACUGUCCGGUGUGCACCGGACAUGUCCGGUGCGCCAACGGCUCUCAGGCUGCCAACGGUCGACUGCGCCAUUUUUGGAAGGAAAUCGGGCACCGGACUGUCCGGUGCGCCAGUCGACAGAAGGCAAGAUCAGCCUUCCUAGAAUGCUCUCAACGGCUCCUAGCUGCCUUGGGGCUAUAAAAGGGACCCCUAGGCGCAUGGAGGAGUAUCUCAAGCAUCCCCUAAGCACUCCUAAGCACUAAGACAUCGAUUUCGCGCCUUUGAUUCUUUGCGAUAGCAAUUAGAGCUCUAGUUGAGUGGUGAACUCAUUGAGUUGUGUUGUGAGCUCUCGUUGCAACUUGUGUGCGUGGUGUUGCUGUGAUUUCUUGUCUUGAGUGCGUUGCUAAUCCCUCCCUUGUUCUGUGCUUCUUUGUGAACUUCAAGUGUAAGGGCGAGAGGCUCCAAGUUGUGGAGAUUCCUCGCAAACGGGAUUGAGAAAAGCAAGCAAAACACCAUGGUAUUCAAGUGAGUCUUUGGACCGCUUGAGAGGGGUUGAUUGCAACCCUCGUCCGUUGGGACGCCACAACGUGGAGUAGGCAAGCAUUGGUCUUGGCCGAACCACGGGAUAACCACCGUGCCAUCUCUGUGAUUGAUUUCUUGUGGUUAUUGUGUUUUGUUGAGACUCCUCUCUAGCCACUUGGCAUUUACUGUGCUAACGCUUAACCAAGUUUGUGUGGCUUAAGUUUUCAAGUUUUACAGGAUCACCUAUUCACCCCCCCUCUAGGUGCUCUCAAUUGGUAUCGGAGCCGUUCUCUUCACAAAGGGACUAACCGCCCGAAGAGAUGGAUCCUAAGGGGAAGGGUAUCGUGAUCAACGAUAAAGAGAAGGAAUCUUUCGUCAACGAGCCGAAGGAUGACAAGCCUACCGACUCGGGCUCGGGCCAUAGAUGGAAAGAUGGGAAGAAGAAGAAGACAAGGCGCAUCAAGGAGAUUGUCUACUACGACGACAGCGACGAGUCAUCUUCUUCCCAAAAGGACGACGACCACAACGACUACGAGAGAAGGAAACCGGUUAAUUCGAACUUUUCUUUUGACUACUCUCGUAUUCCGCAAAGUUCAAAUUCACAUUUGCUCUCCAUUCCUCUCGGCAAGCCUCCACACUUUGAUGGGGAGGACUACAGAUUUUGGAGCCACAAAAUGUGUAGUCACCUAUUCUCUCUCCAUCCUAGUAUAUGGGAGAUUGUAGAGAGUGGAAUGCACUUUGAUAGUACGGAUAGUCCCAUGUUCAUUAAUGAGCAAAUUCAUAAGAAUGCACAAGCUACUACUGUUCUUCUAGCUUCAUUGUGCAGGGAUGAAUACCACAAAGUGAGCGGCUUGGAUAACGCCAAGCAGAUCUGGGACACCCUCAAGAUUUCUCAUGAGGGGAACGACGUCACCUUGCUCACCAAAAUGGAGUUGGUGGAGGGCGAGCUUGGACGAUUUGCGAUGAUAAGGGGCGAGGAGCCGACACAAACAUACAACCGGCUCAAGACUCUUAUCAACAAAAUAAGGAGCUACGGAAGCACGCGAUGGACGGACCACGACGUCGUUCGACUGAUGCUAAGGUCCUUUACCGUUCUUGAUCCUCAUUUGGUGAAUAAUAUUCGUGAGAAUUCCAGGUACACCAAAAUGUCGCCCGAAGAAGUCCUUGGAAAAUUUGUAAGCGGGCGAAUGAUGAUCAAGGAGGCGAGGUACGUGGACGACGCUCUAAACGGUCCAAUCAAUGAGCCUCAACCCGUUGCUCUCAAGGCAACAAGGAGCAAGGAGGCGUUACCCAGCAAGGUAGCACAAAUUGAGGCGGCCGGACUUAAUGAUGAAGAGAUGGCCCUCAUCAUCAAAAGAUUCAAGACGGCGCUAAAGGGUCGCAAGGGGCAGCCAAGCAAGACCAAGACAAAGGGGAAGCGCUCAUGCUUCAAAUGUGGUAAGCUUGGUCAUUUUAUUGCUAACUGUCCCGACAAUGAUAGUGAUCAGGAUCAAGGGAACAAGAGGAAGAAGAAGAAGAACUAUAAGAAGGCAAAGGGCGAGGCACAUCUUGGCAAGGAGUGGGACUCCGACAAUGAAGGACUCGCUGCCACCGCCUUCAACAAGUCAUCCCUCUUCCCCAAUGAGCGUCACACAUGCCUUAUGGCAAGGGAGAAGAAGGUAUGUACUCGAAACUCUACUUAUGCUUCUUCAAGUGAGGACGAAUCUAGUGAUGAGGAUGAAAUAGAUUAUUCAUGUUUAUUUAAGGGCCUAGAUAGAACCAAGGUAGAUAAAAUUAAUGAAUUGAUUGAUGCCUUGAAUGAUAAGAAUAGGCUUUUAGAAAAACAAGAGGACGUGUUGUAUGAAGAACAUGACAAAUUUGUAGAAGCACAAAAAUCUCAUGCCUUAGAAGUUAAGAGAAAUGAAAUGCUUUCUUGUGAAUUAUCUUCUUGUCAUGAGACGAUUUCUAGCUUAAGGAGCAUUAAUGAUGAUUUGAAUGCUAAGUUAGAAAUAGCUAGUAAAUCAACAACUUGUGUAGAAAAUGUUGUUAUUUGCAAUAGAUGUAAAGAUUUUGAUAUUGAUGCUUGUAGUGAACACAUAGCUUCUAUUGCAAAGUUAAAUGAUGAAAUGGCUAGUCUUAAUGCCCAACUUAAGGCUAGCAAAAGUGAUUUUGAUAAACUAAAAUUUGCCAGGGAUGCCUACACGAUUGGUAGACACCCCUCCAUUAAGGAUGGGCUUGGCUUCAAGAGGGAAGCCAAGAACUUAACAAGCCAUAAGGCUCCCAUCUCCGCCAAGGAGAAAGGGAAGGCCCCUAUGGCAAGUAGUACUAAAAAGAACCAUGCUUUUAUGUACAAUGAUAGAAGACAGUCUCAUAGGAGUUGUAAUGCUUUUGAUUCACAUGCCUAUGAUUCUUAUGCUAUGUUUGCUUCCAGUUCUUCCUAUAUGCAUGGUAGAGAUAUGCCUAGGAAAAAUAUUCAUCAUGUGCCUAGAAAGAAUAUUGUUCAUGUUCCUAGGAAAGUUAUGAAUGGACCCUCUACAAUUUAUCAUGCUUUAAAUGCUUCCUUUGCUAUUUGUAGAAAGGAUAGGAAGAUAGUUGCUAGGAAAUUAGGGGCAAAAUGCAAGGGUGAUAAAACUUGCAUUUGGGUCCCUAAGACAAUUGUGACUAACCUUGUAGGACCCAACAAGAGUUGGGUACCUAAGACCCAAGCCUAAAUUUGCCUUGCAGGUUUAUGCAUCCGGGGGUUCAAGCUGGAUUAUCGACAGCGGAUGCACGAACCAUAUGACGGGGGAAAAGAAGAUGUUCACCUCCUACGUCAAGAAUAAGGAUUCCCCAGAUUCAAUCAUAUUCGGUGAUGGGAACCAAGGCAAGGUGAAAGGUUUAGGCAAGAUUGCAAUAUCAAAUGAGCACUCUAUCUCUAAUGUGUUUUUAGUUGAGUCUCUUGGAUAUAAUUUACUAUCUGUCAGUCAAUUAUGUAAUAUGGGAUAUAAUUGUCUAUUUACAAAUGUAGAUGUGUCUGUCUUUAGAAGAUGUGAUGGUUCACUAGCUUUUAAGGGUGUACUAGACGACAAACUUUAUUUAGUUGAUUUUGCAAAAGAGGAGGCCGAUCUAGAUACAUGCUUAAUUGCUAAGACUAGCAUGGGCUGGCUGUGGCAUCGCCGCUUAGCACAUGUGGGGAUGAAGAACCUUCACAAGCUUCUAAAGGGAGAACACGUGAUAGGUUUGACUAACGUGCAAUUCGAAAAAGAUAGACCUUGUGCAGCUUGUCAAGCAGGUAAACAAGUGGGAGGAGCACAUCACAGCAAGAAUGUGAUGACCACUUCAAGACCUCUGGAGCUGCUGCAUAUGGACCUCUUCGGACCCGUCGCCUAUCUGAGCAUCGGAGGAAGUAAGUAUGGUCUAGUUAUUGUUGAUGACUUUUCCCGCUUCACUUGGGUGUUCUUUUUGCAGGAUAAGUCUGAAACCCAAGGGACCCUCAAGCGCUUCCUAAGGAGAGCUCAAAAUGAGUUUGAGCUCAAGGUGAAGAAGAUAAGAAGCGACAAUGGGUCCGAGUUCAAGAACCUUCAAGUGGAGGAGUUCCUUGAGGAGGAGGGGAUCAAGCACGAGUUCUCCGCUCCCUACACACCUCAGCAAAAUGGUGUGGUAGAGAGGAAGAACAGGACGCUCAUUGAUAUGGCAAGGACUAUGCUUGGAGAGUUCAAGACCCCCGAGCGUUUUUGGUCGAAAGCCGUGAACACGGCUUGCCACGCCAUCAACAGGGUCUAUCUUCAGCGCCUCCUCAAGAAGACUUCAUAUGAGCUGCUAACUGGUAACAAACCCAAUGUAUCUUAUUUUCGUGUAUUUGGGAGCAAGUGUUAUAUUCUUGUGAAGAAAGGUAGAACCUCUAAAUUUGCUCCCAAAGUUGUAGAAGGGUUUUUAUUAGGUUAUGAUUCAAAUACAAAGGCGUAUAGGGUCUUCAACAAAUCAUCGGGUUUGGUUGAAGUCUCUAGCGACGUUGUAUUUGAUGAGACUAAUGGCUCUCCAAGAGAGCAAGUUGUUGAUCUUGAUGAUGUAGAUGAAGAAGACGGUCCAACGGCCGCGAUACGCACCAUGGCGAUUGGAGAUGUACGGCCUCAGGAACAAUUGGAGCAAGAUCAACCGUCUUCCUCAACUAUGGUGCAUCCCCCAACCCAAGAUGACGAACAUGUACCUCAAGUGGAGGCGCAUGAUCAAGGGGGAGCACAGGAUGUUCAAAUUGAAGAAGAAGAAGCACCUCAGGCACCUCCAACCCAAGUUCGAGCGACGAUCCAAAGGGAUCAUCCCAUCGACCAAAUUUUGGGUGAUAUUAGCAAGGGAGUAACUACUCGUUCAAGAUUAGUUAAUUUUUGUGAGCAUUACUCCUUUGUCUCUUCUAUUGAGCCUUUCAGGGUAGAAGAGGCCUUGCUAGAUCCGGACUGGGUGUUGGCCAUGCAGGAGGAACUCAACAAUUUCAAGCGCAAUGAAGUUUGGACACUGGUGCCUCACCCCAAGCAAAAUGUUGUGGGAACCAAGUGGGUGUUCCGCAACAAACAGGACGAGCACGGGGUGGUGACGAGGAACAAGGCUCGACUUGUGGCAAAAGGUUAUGCCCAAGUCGCAGGUUUGGACUUUGAGGAGACUUUUGCUCCUGUGGCUAGGCUAGAAUCAAUCCGUAUCUUGCUAGCAUAUGCCGCUCACCAUUCUUUCAGGUUGUACCAAAUGGAUGUGAAGAGCGCUUUCCUCAACGGGCCGAUCAAGGAGGAGGUGUACGUGGAGCAACCCCCUGGCUUCGAGGAUGAACGGUACCCCGACCACGUGUGUAAGCUCUCUAAGGCGCUCUAUGGACUUAAGCAAGCCCCAAGAGCAUGGUAUGAAUGCCUUAGAGACUUUUUAAUUGCUAAUGCUUUCAAGGUCGGGAAAGCCGAUCCAACUCUUUUUACUAAGACUUGCGAUGGUGAUCUUUUUGUGUGCCAAAUUUAUGUCGAUGACAUAAUAUUUGGUUCUACUAAUCAAAAGUCUUGUGAAGAGUUUAGCAGGGUGAUGACGCAGAAAUUCGAGAUGUCGAUGAUGGGCGAGUUGAACUACUUCCUUGGGUUCCAAGUGAAGCAACUCAAGGACGGCACUUUCAUCUCCCAAACGAAGUACACGCAAGAUUUUCUAAAGCGGUUUGGGAUGAAGGACGCCAAGCCCGCCAAGACGCCGAUGGGAACCGACGGACACACCGACCUCAACAAAGGAGGUAAGUCCGUUGAUCAAAAAGCAUACCGGUCCAUGAUAGGUUCUUUGCUUUAUUUAUGUGCUAGUAGACUGGAUAUUAUGCUUAGUGUAUGCAUGUGUGCUAGAUUUCAAUCCGAUCCUAAGGAGUGUCACUUAGUGGCUGUGAAGCGAAUUCUUCGAUAUUUAGUCGCUACGCCUUGCUUCGGGAUCUGGUAUCCAAAGGGGUCUAACUUUGACUUGAUUGGGUACUCAGAUUCCGACUAUGCUGGAUGUAAAGUCGAUAGGAAGAGUACAUUGGGGACGUGCCAAUUCUUAGGAAGGUCCCUGGUGUCGUGGAACUCUAAGAAACAAACUUCCGUUGCCUUAUCCACCGCUGAGGCCGAGUACGUUGCCGCAGGACAGUGUUGUGCGCAACUACUUUGGAUGAGGCAAACCCUCCGAGACUUUGGCUACAAUCUGAGCAAAGUCCCACUCCUAUGUGACAAUGAGAGUGCUAUCCGAAUAGCGGAAAAUCCUGUUGAGCACAGCCGCACAAAGCACAUUGACAUCUGGCAUCACUUUUUGAGAGACCACCAGCAAAAGGGAGAUAUCGAAGUGUUUCAUGUUAGCACCGAGAACCAGCUAGCCGAUAUCUUCACUAAGCCUUUAGAUGAAAAGACCUUUUGCAGGCUGCGUAGUGAGCUAAAUGUCCUAGAUUCGCGGAACUUGGAUUGAUUUAUAGCAUACAUGUAUUUAUGCCUUUGAUCAUGUUCCUUAUGCAUUUUGUUGGUUACUUGUGGUGCUCAAGUUGUACAAACACUCCCUGGACCUCACAAGUCCUUUUUGCAAGUGAUGCACAUAUUUAGGGGGAGCUGUGCUACAACUUGACCCUUUGAGACUAACUGUUUGCUUGAGUUUGCUUGAUUUAGUCUCAAAGGAGGUUUGAAAGGGAAAGGUGGACUUGGACCAUGAAAAACUUCCACUGCACUCCGAUGAGAGGGUAACUAAUUCCAAGUUUAUCUCACGUACUCUUAUUGCCUUUGUGUUCUCAUUUGAAGAUUUUGGUGAGGCAAUGGGGUUAAAGGGCCAAGAUUGAUCCCGUUUUGGUGCUUGAUGCCAAAGGGGGAGAAAAUAAAGGUCAAAUCAAUAGAUGGAUCAGCUACCACUUGAGAAAUUUAGAAAAUAGUAGAUUAGAGCUUUUGGUUUGUCAAAAGUUGGCUUCUUGUGGGAGAAGUGUUGAUUAUGGGAAAAAGGGGAGUUUUUGAAAUCUUGAAUCAAUUUCUCUUGGAAUGACUCUCUUUAUGUCUUAACAUGUGUGUUUGACUUAGAGAUAGAAAUUUGAGUUUGAUUUGCAAAAACAAACCAAGUGGUGGCAAAGAGUGAUCCAUAUAUGUCAAAUUUGAAUCAAAACAAUUUUGAGUUCUUAUUUGAAUUGAUUUUGUACUUGUUCUACUUGCUUUAUGUUGUGUUGGCAUAAAUCACCAAAAAGGGGGAGAUUGAAAGGGAAAUGUGCCCUUGGGCCAUUUCUAAGUAUUUUGGUGAUUUAGUGUCCAACACAAGUGCCUAAGUGGAAAAAGGUGGACAAAGUACAAAUCAAGGAUAAAGGUAUGUUUCUCAGACUUAGUACAUUAUUUUAUGGACUAAUGUAUUGUGUCUAAGUACUGGAAACAGGAAAAAUCCAAUUGAAAAUGUCUUGGCUCGAGCAGCCAAGACUCUGCUCAGUCUGGGAUCACCGGACUGUCCGGUGGUGCACCGGACAGUGUCCGAUGCGCCAGGCUGGCUCGAGCGAACUGGCCGCUCUCGGGAAUUCACCGGCGACGUACGGCUAUAAUUCACCGGACUGUCCGGUGUGCACCGGACUGUCCGAUGAGCCAACGGUCGGCCGGGGCAACGGUCGGCCGCGCGAUUUGCGCGGGACACGUGGCCGAGCCAACGGCUAGAAGGAGGCACCGGACUGUCCGGUGUGCACCGGACAUGUCCGGUGCGCCAAUGGCUCUCAGGCUACCAACGGUCGACUGCGCCAUUUUUGGAAGGAAAUCGGGCACCAGACAGUGUCCGGUGUGCACCGGACUGUCCGGUGCGCCAGUCGACAGAAGGCAAGAUCAGCCUUCCUAGAAUGCUCUCAACGGCUCCUAGCUGCCUUGGGGCUAUAAAAGGGACCCCUAGGCGCAUGGAGGAGUAUCUCAAGCAUCCCCUAAGCACUCCUAAGCACUAAGACAUCGAUUUCGCGCCUUUGAUUCUUUGCGAUAGCAAUUAGAGCUCUAGUUGAGUGGUGAACUCAUUGAGUUGUGUUGUGAGCUCUCGUUGCAACUUGUGUGCGUGGUGUUGCUGUGAUUUCUUGUCUUGAGUGCGUUGCUAAUCCCUCGCUUGCUCUGUGCUUCUUUGUGAACUUCAAGUGUAAGGGCGAGAGGCUCCAAGUUGUGGAGAUUCCUUGCAAACGGGAUUGAGAAAAGCAAGCAAAACACCGUGGUAUUCAAGUGGGUCUUUGGACCGCUUGAGAGGGUUUGAUUGCAACCCUCGUCCGUUGGGACGCCACAACGUGGAGUAGGCAAGCAUUGGUCUUGGCCGAACCACGGGAUAACCACUGUGCCAUCUCUGUGAUUGAUUUCUUGUGGUUAUUGUGUUUUGUUGAGACUCCUCUCUAGCCACUUGGCAUUUACUGUGCUAACGCUUAACCAAGUUUGUGUGGCUUAAGUUUUCAAGUUUUACAGGAUCACCUAUUCACCCCCCCUCUAGGUGCUCUCAAUCAUCUGCAGUGAUGAAUUCAUCAUUCAAGUAUGGUACCUCUGUCAGGUACAUGGUUUGGGUGUUAAAUAAUAAGAUGAGACCAGACGUUGAGCAGGAAAGGUCGCCCGUCUGUGUCGCUUAAGGACCGUUCCGAUUGUUGGCCUACUGAUCUAGGACCCUUUAACUGGCCACAUGCCUCAUCAUGGGUAAGCUUAGCCUCGGUCGGACCAAUACCAGAACAGCUCGCACGCACUGGGAGUGGAGAGAUGGCGAGAGUAGCUUGUACCCUCUGUGGCAAGAGACUGGAAGGUGGGGUGCUGUACUCUCGGAAACAUGGCGGGCACCAUGGCGAGAGUAACGUGUACCAACCAGGCCAAUGGCUGGACGGUGGGGUGCUGUACUCUCUGAAACAUGGCGGGCACCAUGGCGAGAGUAACGUGUACCAACCAGGCCAACAGCUGGAUGGUGGAGUGCUGUGCUCUCGGGUCGCGUGAACCCGUUCUGGUCUUGAGAAACCCGGUGGCGAGUUGACAUAUGCAAGGGUUAAGUGCUACAUAUGUCGUGUGGUUGGAGAUCCCCAGCUGGGUAUUAAUCGAUUCGGAUCGCCGAACUUCUCGGAUAUGAAGACUGGAUCUUCGACCUUCAGCGUAGAUAACAAGUGAAACUAAAGCUGAUAAAAUGAAGCUAGUGUAGGACAAGUGAAUGCUCUAGAUUAGGCAAAUCUAGAUUCAGAAAAAGUACUUAAUCUGUGAAGUAAAAGUUUGGCAUAAGGAUCCACUACUAGUAAGCUUUUCUGCAAAAACGAGUCUUUGAAAUUUGAUGAGCUUUACCUUGAUUCCCAACAAACCAGCAUACCCUUGAGAGUCUUUUCUUUAGUCGGGUAAGUUUUGCUGAGUAAUUGCGUACUCAGGGCUUUAUUCCCUGUUGUUUUUCAGGUUAUAAGUUUGUUCUGUUGUGGAUGGUGCUAAGUGCCGGUGGGCUCGGCCUUCUUAUAUAAGUAUAUCCCAUCUUUAGCUUCUUUAUUGAGGAUUGUCACUUAAGCUAGCAUGUAUCUUCAUAUUUACAAAUAUUUUAUAACAUUUCAAAUUUGUAAUUCUUUUGAAUAAUUUUCUCUUGUAAUCACUCUGAUAAUUGAAUAAUGUAAAAUUAUUGUAACAUGUAAUCAUUUUGUAAUAAAGAAUUUAUUUCCGCUGCAAGUGUUUGUAUGUGAGUUGUGUUUACUUAAUCCUGCGAUCUUGGCGGUAAGUCGUUUAUCCGGGGUCCUCGGGGCACUCGGACAGAUCCUGCUAAGUUGUUUGGUGCACAUGCAUAGCCGUCUUAGGUCGUUGAAACAAGGACAGGUGCAUGUGGGCCCGAUAACUUGGGAGGUUCUGCGACAGCUGGUAUCGGAGCUUGAUUAAGUAUGAUACGGUCACAUACGUAUUUUCAAAACAAAAUUUUGGUUUUGGAAAACCUAUUUUCAACUAAACACAUUGUUUAGUUUUGAAAAACAGAUUUGAAAAACUAUAAUGCUAGCGACAUCCUCUAUAAGCCCUAAGUUAAGGACUACUAGGUGGCUUAGUUCAGAAUACUAACCCACAACCUGGGAAGGGUAAUGCAUACAUGUGUAAUGUUAUUUUUGAGGUCAUUCAGUUUUGAAUGGAUCGACGCUCAAGGUAAGGUGAGAUGUGAGAGCAUGACCGAACAAUCGUCGGUCUAGGGAAGAGCAUAAAAAGCGCUUGAUUAUAUACAUGUUACACAUAUGUAUAUAUGAAGACUGCGAAGUGGAGUAAUUACUUUUUGGGAUUCAGUACCCCAUGGAUGUGUAUGGGCAUACAUACAUGGGAAUACUGAAAAGUGUAAUGUACCACAAUGGGUUGCCCUGUGGUUAAAGUGUGGCAGCGGCGCCUAUGCGUGGCUCGGCGCUUAAUGAGGAGCUGGCCUCCAUAUAGAAAUAUAUGGAGUAUAAACUGUGAUAAACUGUCAUGUGUGAAUUGCAUCAUUGGGAAUUGGGUUGUGAUGAAAUUUUCUGCAGGUACACUAACUUCGAACUCGUAUGUGUAGAUGACGACUAGCAAUAUACCGAGAGAGACGUAGUUAUGCCACCGAUAUAGAACGUUAUUGCCACAUUAUGUGGGCAAAAUCAGUGAGGACGAAUAGGACGAGCAUGCAUCCUGAUUGUUGCAUUGUGUUUGUUGUUUGCGCACAAAAAUGCUUCCCUCACCUUUAUUCUAAUAAUUGGUGAUUGUGAACGAACAUGCUUUUCUCAUCUUUAUUCUGGUAAUAAAUAAUUGAAAACUGUGUGAAGUAUUACUGUUCUAUAAGAAAUUUCUAGUUUUGUUUGAUGUGUCCUUUAGACAUGUGUUUAUGUGGUCUGUGGUUCUUCUUAGUUUGACCGAUGGUGCAACUUAUGUUUAUUUUUGUGCCUGUGUGCCGGUAGAAUGUUGAUAGCUUGUUUGCGUAAACCCAAAGCUAAGUUAUGUCCUUGUUUAGUGAACCUUGAUCUAAACGUGUAUUAAUUUCUUAACAACCUAUCCUAGGUGUCAUCUUGUGUGAAGAUCAUUUUCUUCACAAGAUCAUUGGAGUUCUAGCAAUUAGACCAAGUCAUGUCCUCAUCAUCUCAACAUGUGAAAUUGUAUGAGAUCUAAUUCAUAAUUUUGUCAUUUCUUCAAAGUCUCUCUAAAUCUUCAAAACAUACAUGAGUUUGAAUUAUCGAUUCCUACUCCAUGGCCAAACUCAUGCAAAUACAAAUAGAUGUUUAGGUAAUUCCCUUAUUGGACCUAAGAUGCACUCAAACUUAAAAACAAGGAUCUCGAGUCUGUAAUCUUGACAAUCCACUUGUAGCUCUCUUAUGGUCAUAUGUUCAUCCUAAACCAUACCCUUGUUUGGUUGGUGCAAGCUGAUGGUUCUAUUCUGCUUUGCCUCUCCAUGAGAAUCACAUUGUUGAUUUCUCAAUCUAACCUAGGAAAGGAAUGCCCACUAGUUUUCUUGAAUUUAAUGCCUUUGGUUUUCUCAUAUCUUUCGAAGGCAUACCAACUUAAUCUUAUGAUUGUUUUCCCUCCGUAUCUAAUCAAAUACUAAUCCUUAACCUUGUAAUCUUUGCGAUGGGCAUAGAAAUAUGCUUGGGGCUGAAAUAACAGUCUCCCAUCGUACUCCUUUCAUCAAAUUUAGGUUAUGGCCAUGUCUUAUUCGUAUCAUUGGUCAUGAUCUAUUUGACUCUCUACUCGUAAUUAUUCUGACAGGUAGAGUCUCUUUGUAUAUUGUCACCCUUGCUCAAUCCAUUUGUCUCGCGCGAGAUGUCUUAUUGGUUACGUCUGGUAAUGGUGUUAUGACUAAAACCGAUGGUGCCGCGACGAAACCGAGGGCCUCCUGUGAAUGUACACACAUGGUUGUGCUGCUCGGCACGCGCUGGUAUCACGGUGAGUAGUUGUAAUCCAUUAUGAGGCUAUAUCAAUGUGUUAUCUUGGCACAAUCUAGUUUUGUCAUGCGAAAUUCAUUAUUGGUGCUGUUCGGUAAUGGUGUCACAAUUAAUGAUUUGUGGUGCCGCCGCGAAAUUGAGAGCCCCUUGUGAAAGUACACGCAAGGUUAUGCUGCUUGGCGCAUGCUGGUAUCGAGGUCUUUGGUCAUGAUCCAUUGUGGAACUACACUGAUGUGUGAUCUUCCGUGGACUCCUCCCUUGAAACGAUUUUUGUGUUGUUUUCUACAACAAUCAAGCAACAUAUGCCAUCACUGUUGGAUCAAAAGAGUAUAUAACUCUGAUGUAUUCCUUGGUAAAUUUUCUACCCAUUCAGAAAUCUCCAACAAAAAUCAAAACCUAUCUGUGUUUGGAUCAUGUGAUAAAAAUCCAUCUUCCCAUGUGUGGUCGCAUGUCUUUUUACUCAAGUGGUGACUACACACAUACAAGUUCCCUUUGCAUCCUUUAUUGUAAAGGUGAAGCCUUGAAGCUUUUUAGUGUUGGAAGACAGCUAUUAGUUCUCAAGAUGGAGAAUUGUUUUCUCUCCUACUGAGAUGCAGGAGUUUAUUCAUUUUCUCUCUUAUCCAAUACAUGUGUUCCCUAACCAAGUCAUUCCAUCUCAGAUGAAGAAAUGGAUGAACAACCUGACUGAAUGGAUCUUUAUCUAAAUACAUGGCCUCCUGCUAGCAAACGUGAACUCUCGACCAUUAGAUUGCCGAUGGGUAAUAAGAGGACUUGCUCAAUGUCAAAAGUAGUUCAACAAGUUGGUUUUACUAACUUGUAACUGCCCAAUGAACAAAGGUUGAGUUUAGAAAUCGUUUUAUCGAGUUGUCUAAACUCACUUUAGUUCAGCCUAUCUUGAAGAGACCCUUGUGAAGAUCAAGUGAAGGUUAUGAACAUAUGCGCAGAUCUUAUGCCAUAUUGGAUUAUAUUAUGAGCAUAUGUAUCUUAACUUUACCUUGUUGGCCGAGGCACUUUGCCAUCCUCAGCUGACUGAUAACAUCCCGACCACAGUUCUAGUCGUGCCUCAAUCGCCUCACAUGUGAUUUUCUAACAUGUGUGAUCAAGCCGAGCCAUGCUUAGUGCUUGAUAAAAUGGAUUGAUCACAAAAUCAAUAUCUGUGAAUCCCUUCAUGGAUAUUUUCUCAAAUUUCUAUCAUUUUUCUUAGACUUGGAUUCCCUGGCUAACCACGAGUUAAUUGUGAUGUUAUUUGACAUCCAUCCUCGUCUUGUGUGCUAGGAAUUUCCAAUGACCACUUGUUGGUAAGCCUCUUUCUGUGUGUUUUACCCAAGAGGUUGCAUCCACUUAAUUUGGUAAUCAAUAUCUAUCUAUUCGCUAUUCGUUCAACAGACUCAUGUUACUAGAAAAAGCAAACUACACACAUGGAACCUUAUAUGGGUAAGGCGAUACAUGUUAUAAAUAACAUCCUCAGAUACUCGCCUCCGUUUGGAGCUACCUUAUGCUAUCGCUAUUAUGGAAAAGUUUAUACGCCUCUCUACUCUUAGAAGUCUUUCGUUCUGAAUCUCGGGACGAGAUUCUUUUAAGGGGGAAGGCUGUAACACCCCAGGUGUUUAUCGUCUACUCGACCACGAGUGACGUUAACACGUGAUAGCUGUGAAAAUAAAAUGGACACUAAAUUUUAAUCAUCUUCAUCUAUCACGAUUUGGUAUCGUGUCUGUCUCCAUCUGUUUAAAUUGUUCUAAUUUAGUUUGCAAAAAUUCAAACUUUAGUAAUCUUCCGAAACAUCAGAUCCAAUAUCGUUUGGGUUGAGUCAUCGACGUCUUGCCCAAACUCUAACCUUUGAAAUCGGAUCUGGUUCUGUAGAAUCCAUUUUUAAUUCCCUCGCGCCUGCGUCGUGCGCGUCCCUCUGCGGCCUGGCAUUGUGACGUGUGGCGAGCGUUAACCGGUGUCUGGACACCGCACAACCUCUCGCCCACGUAAACGAUGCGUGCCAUCGCUUCCGAAAGGAUCACACUUUUUAUGUCACAUCGAUCUCUCGUAUUUAUUUCGCUAAAUAUCGAGUCUUGUGUCUGUUUAAAAAUUUAUAAAUUACGAGAACAUGAAUUUGGAAUCCCGACCCACUCUUGUGAUUGUUGUCCUAAGUAAAUAUUAUUAGAACUUGACGACAACAAUCUUGACGCAAAAUUAAAUCGGAUCGAGAUAAAUAGAACCGAACUGAGUAUUCGUAAUUAAUCUGUUUCACUGUCUACAACCGUGGAAAUUUGUCUGGUCCGGAAAAUACCUCCCAUUGUAAGCGCAGUCCAAAAACAUCAAAAUUUAUAUCAUUUUGAUUGGUCUGUUUGUAUCUCGUUCGGAUUCAAAUUCUAGAACUAAAUUAUCUAUGUGUUCUUUUGUGAAAAGUUGGAGGAGGAAAAAUCUAUACUAUCUCAGCCAUAUCCAAAUCGUCAUUUAUCAAAUGUCCAUCUCCCUCACGUAUCUAUCUUAUCCUCUCCACUUUCCCUGGCUUGUUCUAGACGUCGCUAUUUCUAGAUUGGUCUCCUGGCGCUUGGACGCAUGGCAGCCUCCUGCUUCUCUUCCCAUGCCGUGACAGCAUCCAGUACAGCCACCGGUGACAGAGCUGCUCGCCCAGCGACAGCCCCUCCCUGGCGAUCGCCCCCGCCCCCAGCCAUGGACACCGUCGGCCUCGACUUCCUCUGGCUGCGGCAUCCGUCCUGCUCCCCGCUCCAUCCCUUGCUCCUCUCCAUAGACGCCCAGACCGAUGCCUAGCUCUCCCAUGGCCGCCCUGGAUCUCCAUGGUCGAGUUUUUCCCCUGCAGGAUCCCCCCCAAUGGCGCCUGGUCUUUUUCCCUUGGUUGAAAACACCUCUGCACUUAACCCCCUCUGUUGAUGGUCGACGUCUCUCCAUCCAUGGUACCUAGGUCUCCAUCCCCAUGCCCCUGCAGCUUGUUCUCAAGCAGCCAACCAUGGUGCGUCGUCCGCCUCGGUGAGGACUUGUCAUUUCUUUUGCGAGUAUUCCUCGCUGAUACUUGUAUCUAGAUGAUGUAUUUUGCGUGUUUGUGUAUGUGGCUUGGAGGAGAAACUUUCCGGUGUUGGAGGGCGAAGAGCUCGAAGUUCUAAAGGUAACGCCCGCCGGGUGCUUGGUGGAACGUCUCAACCGGAGGUUGUUGUCGAUCUCUCGGGUUCGAGGCGAUUUAGUUGUGGUAAGCUAUUUCGCCACUCAUAUUGUUUAAUUUAAUGUUUGGCUUCGAUGGGGAUUGUAGUCAUGAUGAUUUUAUCGUCUUUAGCGCAGGCGGGUUGUGGUGGAAUGCUCGACAGAUCCGUUGUUAGGCAUAUGUGUAUGCAUAGUGUGCUUAAAUUGAUUCUUUGUUUGCAUGAUGUGAGAGUAGGUUUAAAAUACUAGGUUAUGUGAAGUGCAUGGAUUCAUGGUUAUAAAGUAGAAUUAAUCCAUAUGUGUGAUUAGAAAGUGCCAAGCACAUGAUAAUUAUAGGAGCAAAUUAAAUGUUUGCUGUUUGGACUUGCUGUUUGAGCUGUGUCCAGUUUUAGUAUGCAGGUAGUUGAGUGAAGUAAACCUUAUUUUCUGUGAAAGUGUUAUAUAUAAAAGUUGUAGCUCACUUCUUUAUCUUGCUUGUGUAGAAAUUUCAUGACCAUAGACUUAGCAGUUUAGAAGUUAUGAUUUUCCCAAGUCCAGUUUCAGAAUCUGUCUAAAUUCUGUACAGGUUUCGAAAAUUGGAAUGUUUGGCUAAGCUAAACUGAGAAUCAGCUCUUAGUAAUUAUAGGAGAAUUAUAGUACUUUUCUUAAGCUUUCCAACAAAUUUUGGAGCAUCCUUUUUGGUGGUCUAGAAGUCAAGUUAUGGCUGUUUGAAAUAUGAAGUCUGAAUCUGUUCAAAUCUGGACAAAAGAGACUGUUUGUGUUAACUGACCUUUCUACGCAUUGAAUUAACUGGAGAUGAUUAUAAAUGAGUUGUAGACAAUUUUAUUAGCUUUCUAAAAAGUCUAGGAUCACAUGUUUUGGAUGUCUAAAUCUCCAGUUAUG